rnacentral:misc_RNA from 1 species
GGAAGUAAAAGUCUUAACAAGGUUUCCGUAGGUGAACCUGCGGAAGGAUCAUUCAUAAUAAGUGUUUUAUGGCACUUUUUUAAAUCCAUAUCCACCUUGUGUGCAAUGUCAGGGUUGAUUUUUCUCUCGAGAGGAUCAACCCCAAACAUCAACUAUAUCUCAACUCUUUGUCUGAAAAAUAUUAUGAAUAAAACAAUUCAAAAUACAACUUUCAACAACGGAUCUCUUGGCUCUC